AACAUGUCUAUAUGAUUGUUAUAUAAAGUCUAGCCUGCCCACUGAUUUGUUUUAAAGGGCCGCGGUAUAUUGACCGUGCGAAGGUAGCAUAAUCAUUAGUCUUUUAAUUGGAGGCUUGUAUGAAUGGUUGGACAAAAAGUAAGCUGUCUCGGUUAUAAUAAUUGAACUUAACUUUUAAGUGAAAAGGCUUAAAUGUUUCAGGGGGACGAUAAGACCCUAUAAAGCUUGACAAUAAUUUCGUUAUAUUAUAAAUUGUUAGUAUAACUUGAUUUUAACGGGAGUUUGUUUCGUUGGGGCGACGGGAAUAUAAUAAAUAACUGUUCUUUUAAAUAUAAUUACAAAAAUACUUGGUAAACAAUUGAUCCUCUAUUAGAGAUUAAAAGAUUAAGUUACUUUAGGGAUAACAGCGUAAUCUUCUUUGAGAGUCCACAUCGACAAGAAGGUUUGCGACCUCGAUGUUGAAUUAAGGUAUCCUUAUAAUGCAGCAGUUAUAAAGGAGGGUCUGUUCGACCUUUAAAUCCUUACAUGAUCUGU
rnacentral:rRNA from 1 species